rnacentral:rRNA from 1 species
AACGAACGCUGGCGGCAUGCCUAACACAUGCAAGUCGAACGAGACCUUCGGGUCUAGUGGCGCACGGGUGCGUAACACGUGGGAAUCUGCCCUUCGGUUCGGAAUAACACAGAGAAAUUUGUGCUAAUACCGGAUGACGACGUAAGUCCAAAGAUUUAUCGCCGAAGGAUGAGCCCGCGUAGGAUUAGGUAGUUGGUGGGGUAAUGGCUCACCAAGCCGACGAUCCUUAGCUGGUCUGAGAGGAUGAUCAGCCACACUGGGACUGAGACACGGCCCAGACUCCUACGGGAGGCAGCAGUGGGGAAUAUUGGACAAUGGGCGAAAGCCUGAUCCAGCAAUGCCGCGUGAGUGAUGAAGGCCUUAGGGUUGUAAAGCUCUUUUACCAGGGAUGAUAAUGACAGUACCUGGAGAAUAAGCUCCGGCUAACUCCGUGCCAGCCGCCGCCGUAACAC